rnacentral:tRNA from 1 species
GGAUCAUUAGCUCAAAUGGUAGAACACUUGAGAAUAGUUAUCUCAAUAGAUGGUGGUUCAAGUCCAUCAUGAUCUU